ensembl:lncRNA
CAGACAGACAGAUCGAUAGAUAGAUAGAUAGAUUGAUUGAUAGACAGACAGACAGAUAGACAGACAGAUAGAUAGAUAGAUAGAUAGACAGACAGAUAGAUAGAUAGACAGACAGACAGAUAAAUAGAUAGACAGAUAGAUAGAUAGAUAGACAGACAGGUAGAUAGAUAGAUAGAUAGAUAGAUAGAUAGAUAGACAGACAGAUAGAUACAUUGAUAGACAGACAGACAGACAGACAUAGAUAGAUAGACAGACAGACAGAUAAAUAGAUAGACAGAUAGAUAGAUAGAUAGACAGACAGACAGAUAGAUAGAUUGAUAGACAGACAGACAGAUAGACAGACAGAUAGAUAGAUAGAUAGAUAGAUAGACAGACAGAUAGAUAGAUAGAUAGAUAGAUAGAUAGACAGACAGACAGACAUAGAUAGAUAGACAGAC